AUGUGUUUCGUUUCUUCGAAUGGUGGGCUUGUACCGAGGUCAGCAUUCGUGCUUGUUCGUGUUUCUCUCUUCUUCUUCUUCUUUUUCGAUGGUAAAAGAGUUUUAUUCCAUAUUCAUAGGGUUACAAUCAAAUGGCAAAACCUCCUCAAUACAAGGAGGGCCCUGCCCAAGCCAUACAGCUGUAGUACUCUCUGUACGACUAUACAUAGGCAAACGAUCUGCUACCCUAUUCUGUUCUCGCUUAUGUUUCGAAGGAAUAAACUCUCUUUCACCCAUAAGAUGACGAAUCUCAGCAACUAA
rnacentral:rRNA from 1 species